ensembl:snRNA U1 U1 spliceosomal RNA
AUACUUGUCACAGGGGAGAUAUUGUGAUCAUGAAGAUGAUUUUUCCCGGGGCAAAGCUUAUUUAUUGUAUUCUGGAUAUCCUGAUCCCUGUGAUUUCCCUAAAUGUGGGAAGGUGGACUGCAUGAUUUGGUAGUGGGAGACUGCCUUCUGCUCUGCCCUG